rnacentral:rRNA from 1 species
GACGAACGCUGGCGGCGUGCCUAAUACAUGCAAGUUGAGCGCUGAAGGUUGGUACUUGUACCAACUGGAUGAGCAGCGAACGGGUGAGUAACGCGUGGGGAAUCUGCCUUUGAGCGGGGGACAACAUUUGGAAACGAAUGCUAAUACCGCAUAAAAACUUCAAACACAAGUUUUAAGUUUGAAAGAUGCAAUUGCAUCACUCAAAGAUGAUCCCGCGUUGUAUUAGCUAGUUGGUGAGGUAAAGGCUCACCAAGGCGAUGAUACAUAGCCGACCUGAGAGGGUGAUCGGCCACAUUGGGACUGAGACACGGCCCAAACUCCUACGGGAGGCAGCAGUAGGGAAUCUUCGGCAAUGGGCGAAAGUCUGAACGAGCAACGCCGCGGGAGUGAAGAAGGGUUUCGGAUCGUAAAACUCUGUUGGUAGAGAAGAACGUUUGUGAGAGUGGAAAGCUCAUCAAGUGACGGUAACUACCCAGAAAGGGACGGCUAACUACGUG